rnacentral:pre_miRNA from 1 species
CGGGGGAGGCCGGAUCCUGGGCUGUGUCCCCGGUGCCCUGUGCUCCUGGGCCUGCGCUGUUGGAUUCGCACUCACGGCCGCGCAGCCUCCU